rnacentral:lncRNA from 1 species
UUGGAAAACAAUGUGUUUAAUUCUAUGAAUAAUAUUACUGAAUAUUUUCAGACACAUAACAUAUGGUUUCAUAAUAUACUAUACAACCUACAGAUUACCUGAACAAAGAACUUAUAAUUUUACAUUAAGCUUUGAAAUUAUUAUAUCUAGAGAUCAUACAUCAAGAAGUUUUGUCCCCUUCACCUAACUAGUUUUAUUCUAAAGUGUUCAUCUUUUACAUAAUUUCUUAAAAUAUAAAUGGCAUUUAAAAUUUAAAUAAACAGUCAAAAUUACCAAAAAGGACAUCACUAAUUAGCAAAUCACUACCUACAAAAGAAAUUUUGAAAAAAAAACCAUUCAUUCCAUGUAAACAUCUCUAAAUGAACUUAAGUAUAAAGCAUCCAUAGUUCUUUCCCCUCGGAUGUCCCUUUUACACAGGUUUGACUGUAAUUACAGAAUAGGUUCUAUCUGAAUCAUAGAUGAAAACAAUAAUUCAGGAUACUAAUUCUACAAGGCCAUUUAUCAUAUUGCACAUGUAAAGUUCAAGCUAUAAUAAUCACUACACAUCACUGAUUUAACCCCAGCUUUUUGCCUUGGUAUUCAAUGAAGUAAAUGCAUCCCUCAAUAAAAUAUACAGCAUUUCAGUCUUGGGAAAACAAUUCUUCAAAGGAGUGGAUCACAAUGCCUGGUGGCCAAGUUAUCUCAUAGAACAGGGGAACAUUUAUAUAUUAAAUUCUAACGGUUUGUGUUUUUGUUGUCAAAGUCAGAAAUUUCACACAUCCAACACAUUGUACUCAGGCAUCACUAUUGCCAGCAGUCAGCUGAAUUUUUUAACCCACACUCAUAAAUUGAAAGAGUACUUUGUUAUAUUGAUAGUUGCUUCUAAAAUCUUAAAACCUACUUCUUAAACAGUUGUUCAAAAAGUAGUUCUAUAAAAAGAUUGUACUGACUUAAUUGAUAUCAAAUGUAGUCACUAAAGUAAAAAUAUCUUUCAAUCUUUAAAAAGAAAAUACUAAAUGCCUCUUGGGUCAAAUAAAAUAGGUAUCAUAUGAUAUAAAUUCAUAUAAUAAAAUGUUUUUAUAAAAAUCAAACAAUUUGGGGAAAAAAUACACAACAAAAAUUAUUACCAUGAAGGGGACAUAUCAUACAAUUCACAAUCUUAAAUAGCAGAAAAAAAAUCUUCACCUCAACUUAUUCACUACAUAUUCUCUUACCACCUUAUAAUUUACUACAGAAUAAGAUUUGAAUUGUGCAUUUGGCUUAUUAAAAACAAGUACACACCAAACAACAAAAAUUAACCUGUGAAAAUAUACCUUUUUCAUACUACAAAAUUUGCAAAGAGGCUAAAUAAACCCAGUUAAGAAAUUCACUUUAAGAAAAACAACAACAAAAAAAAAGACUUAUAUGAUAGUUUUGAACAAACAAAAUGAAUAGUUUUUACAAAAUGUAUAAAACAGCAUUACAGGUGCAUUGAUUUUUAGAUCCUUAUAUUUGCAUCCGAAAAAACAAAUAUAUUGUUCAUAUGUAAAUUUGGUUAAUGAAACACAGCUAGACAGAUAAAUUAUUCAGUGAAGCUGUGGUAAACAAGAAUGUGUCCAAAGUACAGUGUAUCCAAAGUAACACGGAUGCCCCACUCGCAUUAUCAUUUUCCAUGUUCAAUGGACCGUGAAAUUGGGUAAAAAAUCUAAUUUGGCCUUAAAAGUAAAAAGAUCAACUAAUAAGGAACAUGUGUACUAAGUUUCAAAUUGAUUGGACUUUAACUUCAUCAAAAACUACCUUGACCUAAAACUUUAAACUGAAACUCACACUUUUAAUUUCUAUGUUCAGUGGACCAUGAAAAUGGGGUAAAAAGUCUAAUUUGGUUUAAAAAUAUGAAAGAUCAUAUCAUAAGAAACAUGUAUACUAAGUUUCAAGUUGAUUGGACUUCAGCUUCAUCAAAAACUACCGUGACCAAAAACUUUAACCUGAAACUCAUACUUUUAAUUUCUAUGUUCAGUGGACCAUGAAAAUGGUGUCAAAAGUCAAAUUUUGUUUUAAAAUAUAUGAAAGAUCAUAUCAUAAGGAACAUGUGUACUAAGUUUCAAGUUGAUUGGACUUCAGCUUCAUCAAAAACUACCUUGACCAAAAACUUUAACCUGAAACUCACACUUUUAAUUUCUAUGUUCAGUGGACCAUGAAAAUGUUGUCAAAAGUCUAAUUUUGUUUUUAAAUAAGAAAGAUCAUAUCAUAAGGAACAUGUGUACUAAGUUUCAAGAUGAUUGGACUUCAGCUUCAUCAAAAACUACCUUGACCAAAAACUUUAACCUGAAACUCACACUUUUAAUUUCUAUGUUCAGUGGACCAUGAAAAUGGUGUCAAAAGUCUAAUUUUGAUUUAAAAUAAGAAGGAUCAUAUCAUAAGGAACAUGUGUACUAAGUUUCAAGAUGAUUGGACUUCAGCUUCAUCAAAAACUACCUUGACCAAAAACUUUAACCUGAAACUCACACUUUUAAUUUCUAUGUUCAGUGGACCAUGAAAAUGGUGUCAAAAGUCUAAUUCUGAUUUAAAAUAAGAAGGAUCAUAUCAUAAGGAACAUGUGUACUAAGUUUCAAGAUAUACAAAAUAAGUGAAUAUACUUUCCCUUUAAAAUAGUUACAUGUAUAAACAACAAAAUAGCACCUAUACAUAAGCACAAUUGGCAAAAUAACAAAAAUUGUAAAGCACUGUUAAUUAAUAAAUUAUAGUUUUGGUUAAUGAAACACAGCUAGACUGACAUUACAUUUUAGUUGCAAUUAUUACAAAAGAAAAGCUGUAUACACUGCAUAUAUCCUCUCUUUUAACGAAUGGUUUGUUAAUUCAAAUCUACUUUGUACAAAAAAAAAGUUCUUAUAAUAAUAUUAGUACCUUAAUAUAUAUAAAACUUGAACAUAAAUCUAUUACUACUUUAAUAUAAAAUAGUUAAGUCUUUAAUGGUACAUAAAUU